rnacentral:rRNA from 1 species
GAUGAACGCUGGCGGCGUGCUUAACACAUGCAAGUCGAGCGAUGAAGUUUCCUUCGGGAAACGGAUUAGCGGCGGACGGGUGAGUAACACGUGGGUAACCUGCCUCAUAGAGUGGAAUAGCCUUCCGAAAGGGGGAUUAAUACCGUAUAAUGUUGAAAGAUGGCAUCAUCAUUCAACCAAAGGAGCAAUCCGCUAUGAGAUGGACCCGCGGCGCAUUAGCUAGUUGGUGGGGUAACGGCCUACCAAGGCGACGAUGCGUAGCCGACCUGAGAGGGUGAUCGGCCACAUUGGGACUGGUACACGGCCCAGACUCCUACGGGAGGCAGCAGUGGGGAAUAUUGCACAAUGGGGGAAACCCUGAUGCAGCAACGCCGCGUGAGUGAUGAAGGUUUUCGGAUCGUAAAGCUCUGUCUUUGGGGAAGAUAAUGACGGUACCCAAGGAGGAAGCCACGGCUAACUACGUGCCAGCCGCCGCAGUAAUAC